GGAGGCUUCGCCUAGUCUGGUCUAUGGCGCCGCACUGCUAAUGCGGUUUGGGGUUACGCUCCAUCCCGGGUUCAAAUCCCGGAGCCUCCG
rnacentral:tRNA from 1 species